rnacentral:rRNA from 1 species
AGGCGACGACGGGUAGCCGGCCUGAGAGGGCGACCGGCCACACUGGGACUGAGACACGGCCCAGACUCCUACGGGAGGCAGCAGUGGGGAAUAUUGCACAAUGGGCGCAAGCCUGAUGCAGCGACGCCGCGUGAGGGAUGACGGCCUUCGGGUUGUAAACCUCUUUCAGCAGGGACGAAGCGUGAGUGACGGUACCUGCAGAAGAAGCACCGGCCAACUACGUGCCAGCAGCCGCGGUAAUACGUAGGGUGCAAGCGUUGUCCGGAAUUACUGGGCGUAAAGAGCUCGUAGGCGGUUUGUCGCGUCGUCUGUGAAAACCAGCAGCUCAACUGUUGGCUUGCAGGCGAUACGGGCAGACUUGAGUAUUUCAGGGGAGACUGGAAUUCCUGGUGUAGCGGUGAAAUGCGCAGAUAUCAGGAGGAACACCGGUGGCGAAGGCGGGUCUCUGGGAAAUAACUGACGCUGAGGAGCGAAAGCGUGGGUAGCGAACAGGAUUAGAUACCCUGGUAGUCCACGCCGUAAACGGUGGGSGCUAGGUGUGGGUUUCCUUCCACGGGAUCCGUGCCGUAGCUAACGCAUUAAGCGCCCCGCCUGGGGGAGUACGG